rnacentral:rRNA from 1 species
CCCUUAGAUGUUCUGGGCCGCACGCGUGCUAUAUUGAGUGGAUCAACGGGUCAGGUUGCGCGAAAGUGUUUCCUAAUCUUUAAAUCCGCUCGUGAUGGGGAUUGACGGUUGCAAUUUUCCGUCAUGAACGAGGAAUACCUUGUAAGCGCGGGUCAUCAUCCCGCGCUGAAUACGUCCCUGCCCUUUGUACACACCGCCCGUCGCUCCUACCGAUUGAGUGGUCCGGUGAGGCUUUGGGAUCUGAGCGGAAAGAGCGUUUCGCUGUUUCUGCCCGGAAAACUCAGUCGAACCUUAUCAUUUAGAGGAAGGAGAAGUCGUAACA